UGCAUCGGCCGGGAAUCGAACCCGGGCCGCCCGGGCCGUGGCAGGCGAGCAUUCUACCACUGAACCGCCGAUGG